GCCCGGGUGGCGGAACUGGUAGACGCAGAGGGCUUAAACCCCUCGGGAGCCUCGGCUCCGUGCGGGUUCGACCCCCGCCCCGGGCA
rnacentral:tRNA from 1 species